UUGAAACACGGACCAAGGAGUCUAGCAUGUGCGCGAGUCAUUGGGAACUCGUAAACCCAGAGGCGCAAUGAAAGUGAAAGCGUAAGCAACAGGGAAGAUGGCGAACGGCAAUGCAAAUCGUCGUCCUGCCCGCACUCCCGAGGCGUUACGAGAAAUGCCCCCGUGCGAUUAUCGUGACGCACUGAGAGCGCACACGCUGGGACCCGAAAGAUGGUGAACUAUGCCUGGUCAGGUCGAAGUCAGGGGAA
rnacentral:rRNA from 1 species